rnacentral:lncRNA from 1 species
AACUGUUGACAAAUUGGCAAGUGUACCAAAUCGUACAAGUAAUAUAAAUGGUAAGACCAAGUAUCGUUUUCCCAAGAGACUCGUGUGAUUUUUCUCGUUCGCGUGAAUUAAAAUAAUAAGACUUGAAAAAUAAAAAUUAAUAAAUUGGAUUUGAGAACAAAAAUAUUAACAUGCAAAAAUAAAGUUGAUUCAAUUGACAAACGAAAACAAUGGAUGAAUGGAUGUUGUUGGGGGUUUACAAUUUCAUCUAUUCCACUCUCUCUUACAUACUACCCUUGAAUAUUAGUUUGAUUAAUUUUUAUGUGACUUUCUUAGCCUCCCUUUAACCCGAUCCCUCGGCGAAAAGGGCCUAAUAUUAACUACUGGCUUGCUAUCCCUAGCCUCCUCUAGUAAUUAAUACCGCAUUAUAAACAGAAGUUAGCGCAAUUGAUCGUUCUACCCCUAUCCCUAGGUGGUAUUGCAAAAUCAAGAGAUUACUCACCAGUUCAUGUCAUUACUGUACGUCCCC